AUUGAACGCUGGCGGCAGGCCUAACCCAUGCAAGUCGAACGAGUGGCGGACGGGUGAGUAAUGUCUGGGAAACUGCCCGAUGGAGGGGGAUAACUACUGGAAACGGUAGCUAAUACCGCAUACCAUCGGAUGUGCCCAGAUGGGAUUAGCUUGUAGGUGAGGUAACGGCUCACCUAGGGGACGAUCCCUAGCUGGUCUGAGAGGAUGACCAGACAAACUGGAACGUGGACACGGUCCAGACUCCUACGGGAGGCAGAAGUGGGGAAUAUUGCACAAGGGGCGCAAGCCUGAUGCAGCCAUGCCGCGUGGAGGAAGAAGGCCUUAGGGUUGUAAAGUACUUUCAGCGGGGAGGCGUUAACCGCAGAAGAAGCACCGGCUAACUCCGUGCCAGCAGCCGCGGUAAUAC
rnacentral:rRNA from 1 species